GCCUACGGGGGGCUGCAGUGGGGAAUUUUGGACAAUGGGGGGAACCCUGAUCCAGCCAUGCCGCGUGCAGGAUGAAGGCCUUCGGGUUGUAAACUGCUUUUGUACGGAACGAAAAGGUCUUUUCUAAUAAAGAAGGCUGAUGACGGUACCGUAAGAAUAAGCACCGGCUAACUACGUGCCAGCAGCCGCGGUAAUACGUAGGGUGCGAGCGUUAAUCGGAAUUACUGGGCGUAAAGCGUGCGCAGGCGGUUAUGCAAGACAGAUGUGAAAUCCCCGGGCUCAACCUGGGAACUGCAUUAGUGACUGCAUAGCUAGAGUGCGGCAGAGGGGGAUGGAAUUCCGCGUGUAGCAGUGAAAUGCGUAGAUAUGCGGAGGAACACCGAUGGCGAAGGCAAUCCCCUGGGCCUGCACUGACGCUCAUGCACGAAAGCGUGGGGAGCAAACAGGAUUAGAUACCCCGGUAGUC
rnacentral:rRNA from 1 species